rnacentral:rRNA from 1 species
UACGUAGGGACCAAGCGUUGUCCGGAAUCAUUGGGCGUAAAGAGCGUGUAGGCGGCUUGUUAAGUCUUGCGUGAAAUCUCGGGGCUCAACCCCGAGCGGUCGGUGGAAACUUUCUGGCUAGAGUCCGGAAGAGGAGAAUGGAAUUCCUGGUGUAGCGGUGAAAUGCGCAGAUAUCAGGAAGAACACCCGUGGCGAAGGCGGUUCUCUGGGACGGUACUGACGCUGAGACGCGAAAGCGUGGGGAGCGAACAGG